rnacentral:rRNA from 1 species
GAACGGUGAAGCCCAGCUUGCUGGGUGGAUCAGUGGCGAACGGGUGAGUAACACGUGAGCAACCUGCCCCUGACUCUGGGAUAAGCGCUGGAAACGGCGUCUAAUACUGGAUACGAACCACAGUCGCAUGGCUCGUGGUUGGAAAGAUUUUUUGGUUGGGGAUGGGCUCGCGGCCUAUCAGCUUGUUGGUGAGGUAAUGGCUCACCAAGGCGUCGACGGGUAGCCGGCCUGAGAGGGUGACCGGCCACACUGGGACUGAGACACGGCCCAGACUCCUACGGGAGGCAGCAGUGGGGAAUAUUGCACAAUGGGCGCAAGCCUGAUGCAGCAACGCCGCGUGAGGGAUGACGGCCUUCGGGUUGUAAACCUCUUUUAGCAAGGAAGAAGCGAAAGUGACGGUACUUGCAGAAAAAGCGCCGGCUAACUACGUGCCAGCAGCCGCGGUAAUACGUAGGGCGCAAGCGUUAUCCGGAAUUAUUGGGCGUAAAGAGCUCGUAGGCGGUUUGUCGCGUCUGCUGUGAAAUCCCGAGGCUCAACCUCGGGCCUGCAGUGGGUACGGGCAGACUAGAGUGCGGUAGGGGAGAUUGGAAUUCCUGGUGUAGCGGUGGAAUGCGCAGAUAUCAGGAGGAACACCGAUGGCGAAGGCAGAUCUCUGGGCCGUAACUGACGCUGAGGAGCGAAAGGGUGGGGAGCAAACAGGCUUAGAUACCCUGGUAGU